rnacentral:rRNA from 1 species
UACGUAGGGUGCAAGCGUUGUUCGGAAUUACUGGGCGUAAAGGGCGCGUAGGCGGCUUAUCAAGUCAGGCGUGAAAUUCCCGGGCUCAACCUGGGGGCUGCGCUUGAUACUGAUUGGCUUGAAUGCGGGAGAGGAUAGUGGAAUUCCCAGUGUAGAGGUGAAAUGCGUAGAUAUGUGGAGGAACACCGAUGGCGAAGGCAGCCCCCUGGGUUAACACUGACGCUCAUGCACGAAAGCGUGGGGAGCAAACAGG